CGCCCCGCUCCUGACCCCGCCCCCAGCGCCGCGCGACUCCAGUGGCACCUGCGCUCCCUGAACCCGCACGGCCCGGGUGCUUCCGGCGCUUCUCAGCUGAUGGUGGGUCACCCGUGGCGCGUCCGGUUCUGUAUUUGGUAUGAUUUCACUUGUGCGCACCAUGCUGGCCUUCCUGCAUCUGAAAUUUCCCCCUUCCUCGACUCUGGAGAGAAGUCGUAUUUAACUUGCAUUUCUAGCAAUAAGAAGGAUAUGAAACCGCGGAAGCUCUCCGCGGCAGCACACCAUUCCGUCUUCGGCGUUCCGACACCGAGAGGUGCACCUACUCUGCACCUCUGCUUGCCGCCUGCGGGUCCGCUUCGGACUCACACUCUGCACUUCCCCCGAGUCAUCACUCGCUGCACCCCAGUGCACGUGGAMGAGUGUACCUUCAGCUUGCUCUGCAUUGCGCUCACCUGAGGAAACCCAGCUGGAUGAGCCCGACCCUUCUCCUCCGAGGCCUCUGGAGAAACGUCACCAGCCGGCCUGAUGGGCUUCCGUUGGAAUCCUUGACCACAUUCGCAGAAAGAGCACUUCACACUCUUAAGCAAUCUCCAAGAGGGCAUGUCUCCCCGCUAUCAGAUAACUUCUCAGAUCCCCCUAGUUAAGCCUCCCAGAGGGGACCAAAACACCCAUCACCAAACCGCAGGCUCAUCACAUCCAUCCCCUGCCUUUCACUUUCUCUCCAGAAAGUAGGCCUUCGUAUUUCUCUUCUCCUAUCAAAUACAAUUGCUUCAGGGAACUGGAAUCCAUGCCUUUCUCCUGCAUUGUCAGUUUGCCCAUCUCCAUUGAAUAAUUUCCAAGAUCAUGCAAACACACUCUCUCUGUUCAUUAUAAAAGUCCCCUCCCUGGGGACUCCACUAUUCCCUUAAUGACUGUGCCAGCACCUCAAUAUCAUCUUGUUUUAUUUCUUUUUCUCUCUUCCACCGAUUCCAUAAAAAUGUUCUUGCUUAGGUCACUUUUUGUGCAGUGUAGAGCAUUCUUCUGUUAUCUUGUUGCCCUGUCUGAACGUCCAACAUGUGGCCUUUGUGGAUGGUAGCACUGGCUGUACAGGUCUGUGAUUGUGAGGGGAUGACCCUGUGUGUCCACACUUGUAGCACAAAUCGAGGUCAGAGUUUGGGUGAGGAUUUCGGGCAACCGUAUCCACACAUCCUAGAAAGGUGCAAAUGCAAUUAUUGAGGACUUCUGGGGGAGGGAACAACAUCCUUUGCCUUCACCUUCUAUGUGAGUGUAAGCAAAGAUAGAGGGCGAGGAUUUUCUUAGAAAAAGGGGUAGACCUAGUAGUGGGGAUUAUUUUCUAUUUCUACUCUCCUUCCCAACAGGUGUGAACAUUUAUGUAACUGAAAAUUAAAAUGUGGGAAAAGAUAGGUUAAGGGGAUAUGACACAAAGUAAAUGCAAGAUAGCAAUUUUAAUGUUAGAAAAAGUAGAACAUAAGUACAAAAUGUUAUAAAGGACCAAGGGGAAAUUAUAUUCUCAGAAAAUUAUAAAUAAUUAACUAUAUUAAUAUAUUCAUUAACAUACUUGAAACUGAUCUUUGGUGAGAUAGACAAGUCAACCACUGUGAACAGAAUUUUAACACCUCUGAUAAAUCAGGCAGAAACGAGCCAAAAUACAGAAUACUUGAAUAACAUGGUUAACAAACUUAAACUAAGAGAUAUAGAAAUAACAUUAUAUCUAAAAGGUGGAAGAUGCAAACAAGGUAAUUUCACAAAAACUGACCAUGGCACUGAUUCAAAUUCCAGAGGAUCAGUGUCACUCAGAGUAUAAUCUAGCACAAAAGGACUAAAAUUUGAAAGUAAUUACAAAGGAAUAAGUGAGAUACAUCCCAGAUACAAUGAAAUAGCCCCCACUACAUUCUUCAGUUAAAAAGGAAAUAAAAGCUAGGCAUGGUGGUGCA
rnacentral:lncRNA from 1 species